rnacentral:rRNA from 1 species
UACGUAGGCAGCGAGCGUUGUUCGGAAUCACUGGGCGUAAAGGGAGCGUAGGCGGGUUUCUAAGUCAGGUGUUUAAUCCCGGGGCCCAACCCCGGACAGGCACUUGAAACUGGGAAUCUUGAAUAGUGGAGAGGUCAGUGGAAUUGGGGGUGUAGCGGUGGAAUGCGUAGAGAUCCCCAAGAACACCAGUUGCGAAGGCGGCUGACUGGACACAUAUUGACGCUGAGGCUCGAAAGCAUGGGGAGCAAACAGG